UGGGGAAUCUUGCGCAAUGCACGACAGUGUGACGCAGCAACGCCGCGUGGGGGAAGAAGGCCUUCGGGUUGUAAACCCCUUUCAGGAGGGACGAAGCCCGGGCCGUUAAUAGCGGUCCCGGGUGACGGUACCUCCACAAGAAGCCCCGGCUAACUACGUGCCAGCAGCCGCGGUAAUACGUAGGGGGCAAGCGUUGUCCGGAAUCAUUGGGCGUAAAGAGCGUGUAGGCGGUCCGGUCAGUCGGUUGUGAAAGUCAAGGGCUCAACCCUUGAAUGCCGGCCGAUACUGCCGGGCUAGAGUCCGGAAGAGGUGAGUGGAAUUCCUGGUGUAGCGGUGAAAUGCGCAGAUAUCAGGAGGAACACCGAUGGCGAAGGCAGCUCACUGGGACGGUACUGACGCUGAGACGCGAAAGCGUGGGGAGCAAACAGGAUUAGAUACCCUGGUAGUCCACGCCGUAAACGAUGGGCACUAGGUGUGGGAGGUGUCGACUCCUCCCGUGCCGAAGCUAACGCA
rnacentral:rRNA from 1 species